rnacentral:rRNA from 1 species
GAUGAACGCUAGCUACAGGCUUAACACAUGCAAGUCGAGGGGUAACGAGAGGAAAGCUUGCUUUCCUUGUCGACGACCGGCGCACGGGUGAGUAACGCGUAUCCAACCUGCCCCCAACUAGGGAAUAACCUUGCGAAAGUAAGACUAAUACCUUAUAAUUUCCUCAGAUGUCAUCUGACGAGGAAUAAAGAUUUAUCGGUUGUGGAUGGGGAUGCGUCUGAUUAGCUUGUUGGCGGGGUAACGGCCCACCAAGGCAACGAUCAGUAGGGGUUUUGAGAGGAAGGUCCCCCACAUUGGAACUGAGACACGGUCCAAACUCCUACGGGAGGCAGCAGUGAGGAAUAUUGGUCAAUGGGCGAAAGCCUGAACCAGCCAAGUAGCGUGCAGGAUGACGGCCCUAUGGGUUGUAAACUGCUUUUAUACAGGAAUAAAGUUAGCCACGUGUGGUUAUUUGUAGGUACUGUAUGAAUAAGGACCGGCUAAUUCCGUGCCAGCAGCCGCCGUAA